rnacentral:rRNA from 1 species
AACGAACGCUGGCGGCAGGCCUAACACAUGCAAGUCGAGCGAAGCCUUCGGGCUUAGCGGCGGACGGGUGAGUAACGCGUGGGAACGUGCCCUUUGGUACGGAAUAGCCCCGGGAAGCUGGGAGUAAUACCGUAUGUGGUCGAGAGACGAAAGAUUUAUCGCCAAAGGAUCGGCCCGCGUUGGAUUAGGUAGUUGGUGGGGUAAUGGCCUACCAAGCCGACGAUCCAUAGCUGGUUUGAGAGGAUGAUCAGCCACACUGGGACUGAGACACGGCCCAGACUCCUACGGGAGGCAGCAGUGGGGAAUCUUAGACAAUGGGGGAAACCCUGAUCUAGCCAUGCCGCGUGAUCGAUGAAGGCCUUAGGGUUGUAAAGAUCUUUCAGUGGGGAAGAUAAUGACUGUACCCACAGAAGAAGCCCCGGCUAAGUCCGUGCCAGCCGCCGCAGUAAAAC